GAACUUACUCUUCCGAAAUGGCAUAGAACUGAAACUUGGGAUUGCACUGGAUGAAAACAAUUGAAGGUUUUCGAUGAAAAAAAAAAAAGAAAGAAAACCUUGAAGAUAUAGCAUGCAGAGAGUAAACACAAAAACCAACUCACUCAAACUGCAAUAGACGCACUCUGUGAUACGAAUGCACCUAUUUAGCAAAACAAUUUAGCCUAUAUUGAGAAAGCACCCCAGAUUUAGGCAACAGUCACAUAUAUGUCAAACUUCUGAUAACAUAAUAAGCAAAAGUUUGAAUUUACACUAACUUCACGCAUGCUUUGCAAGGAUAGCCUCAGCAACACCUUGAGCUAUGGGGUGAUAACAAUCACAAGCCUCUGUGAAUACCCUUCUAGCAAAAGCUUUUUCUUCUUCCUUUCCCGCACCUUGAACAAGUGCUGUAUAGAGUGGACGAAGGUACUUCAUCCUACCUACUUCCUACUUUUUCUUCUUCCUUUCCCGCGCCUUGAACAAGUGCUGUAUAGAGUGGACGAAGGUACUUCAUCCUUCCUACUUCCUUCAGUGUUUUUUCCACCUCGCCGUAGUAGUCUCUGCAUCUUGCUGAAGUGGCCAGCUGAAGAAAAGCUACUCUCACCUCAUAAUCUUUUGACUCUGAGAGAUGGUAGCGAGCAUCUAAAGCUGUGACCUGUAAACAGUGUAAAAAUGACGUGAACAAUUUUUCAAUUCGGAACAGAGUCAUUAAGAGCAUAUACAAUAGUAGAGGUGGAUUUCAAGUAAUGUUUUCAGAAGGGUAAAAGCAAGACUAGACAUUUCCCUAGUAGUGAGGCAAGGUGUAUGCUCCAUAGUGUAAAGCCGACGCCUUACAUUUACAACAACAACAAACUCAAUGUAAUCCCACUAGUGGUGACACCUUGCAGGACUAAAUUUU
rnacentral:lncRNA from 1 species